AUGAACGCUGGCGGCGUGCCUAAUACCUGCAAGUCGAGCGAACGGACGAGAAGCUUGCUUCUCUGAUGUUAGCGGCGGACGGGUGAGUAACACGUGGAUAACCUACCUAUAAGACUGGGAUAACUUCGGGAAACCGGAGCUAAUACCGGAUGAUAUUUUGAACCGCAUGGUUCAAAAGUGAAAGACGGUCUUGCUGUCACUUAUAGAUGGAUCCGCGCUGCAUUAGCUAGUUGGUAAGGUAACGGCUUACCAAGGAAACGAUGCAUAGCCGACCUGAGAGGGUGAUCGGCCACACUGGAACUGAGACACGGUCCAGACUCCUACGGGAGGCAGCAGUAGGGAAUCUUCCGCAAUGGGCGAAAGCCUGACGGAGCAACGCCGCGUGAGUGAUGAAGGUCUUCGGAUCGUAAAACUCUGUUAUUAGGGAAGAACAUAUGUGUAAGUAACUGUGCACAUCUUGACGGUACCUAAUCAGAAAGCCACGGCUAACUACGUG
rnacentral:rRNA from 1 species